AACACUGAGAGCAGAACAUCAGCUCUUACUUCAGUCAGUGUGAAUUUUUGGCACAAAUUAGCUGCUUGAGUCAGAUGAUACUUUGCAAGCUUUCAUCACUUGGAUUACACUGGCAAAGCUGAAGUGAGCAAGGUAGCUGAACUUCUGUUUUCUUUUCAGAGACAAAAAUGAAUGUUUCGCUCACCUGCUCCAUUGUACAAUGCCUGGGCAAGCAACAAAGACUCUGACAACUGUCUGGAGGCCAAGUAAGUUGUAGGGCUGGCACCCAUGUUGACAACAACAAGUUUAAGAUGAUGGACGAGGAAGACACCAUCUGGCUAAUAGGCCAAAUAAUGUGCAAUGAAUGCUGACGGGAAGUAAAAUGGCAGGAAAGCCUGCAUAGAAAAUGUAAUGUAGGAACUUGGACA